rnacentral:rRNA from 1 species
AUACGUAGGGGGCGAGCGUUGUCCGGAAUGACUGGGCGUAAAGGGCGUGUAGGCGGCCGAUUAAGUCUGGAGUGAAAGUCCCGCUUUCAAGGUGGGAAUUGCUUUGGAGACUGGUUGGCUUGAGUGCGGAAGAGGUAAGUGGAAUUCCCAGUGUAGCGGUGACAUGCGUAGAGAUUGGGAGGAACACCAGUGGCGAAGGCGACUUACUGGGCCGUAACUGACGCUGAGGCGCGAAAGCAUGGGGAGCGAACAGGAUUAGAUACCCUGGUAGUCCACGCUGUAAACGAUGAAUGCUAGGUGUAGGGGGUAUCGACCCCUCCUGUGCCGGAGUAAACGCAAUAAGCAUUCCGCCUGGGGAGUACGGCCGCAAGGUUGAAACUCAAAGGAAUUGACGGG